ACGAAGGCUUAUGCAGCCUCAAAGUCCAUAAUCCCCUGAAGUUGCAUCUUUUCUUUCGGAAGAGCACGAUUUCUUCGGUCGGACGCAAAUGACAGCGAAGGGUUUUACUGCUGUGAACAGGCACCAAGGCAACUCUUAUAAAGGACAUUAUUUAAUUAGGACUGGCUUACAGGUUCAGAGUUUCAGUCCAUUAUCAUCAAGAUGGAGCAUGGCAGCAUCCAGGCAGGCAUGGUACAGGAGGAGCUGAGAGUUCUACAUCUUCAUCUGAAAGCUUGAAUGAGGGUCUUAAAGCCCACACGCACAGUGACACACCUACUGCAACAGGGCCACACCUUCUAAUAGAGCCACACCUUCUAAUAGAGCCACUCCCUGGGCCAAGCAUAUACAAACCAUCACAAUCAUUAUAGGAAGAGCAGCACAAGGCCAGACACUCCACCACAGCCUCCUGGACACCAGGACUACAGACACACAUCCCACACCUAGUUCCCUAUCCUGCUAAUGAGUAUGUCACCAACACUCCUGAAUAGGUGAAGGGACAAGACCUGAGAAGUAAGAUGUGAAAGAACCUCAGAUGAAUUAAAAGGUACCAGAGACACUUCCAGAACACUUAAUA